AAAUAACCUGUCAGGGAUUUAUUGAAAGACACCUAUUUCACAUUGCAGGGGAUUUGAGAGUUACAGAUGAUUAAUUCUGAUGUGUCAUUUUGUAGGUGUUGGAGUUUCGCCUAUCCUGCUUUUUGCCUCUGCUGCAGCAGUGGGUCUUCUUCUGUUGGUGGGCGUUUCCUACGCAGUCUGGGGGAGGGGGAGGAGCAGAACUAUCAAGAUAAACCACACUGAAGCUGCCAUGAAUGUGACCUCUCUGGGCUCAGAUUGUGAGGAAGAGGAUGACUACGUUAACGCAGAAUAUGUGGGUUCAGAUUGUGAGGAAGAAGACGACUACGUAAACGCAGAACAUGUGGGUUCAGAUUGUGAGGAAGAUGACGACUACGUCAACAUAGGACAUCUGGGUUCAGAUUGUGAGGAAGAGGACGACUACGUCAACGCAGAACACAUCGCGAACAACAGCAACGCGGAGUUGAUGAAAGGAUGCCAUACAGAAAAGUAAGAGAAUAGGGAGUUGAAUGCUGAAAGGGAUAUUCUAGAAAAUGACAACAGUUAUGCAUGGGAUAUUCGGUGCCAGGUUUCAAGUAGUUUGAAUGUUUGCCUUCAUCCUCAGGAAUGCCCCAGAAACAAUGAACGGGUGUGUGAACGAGCCCCGUGUUGGGCCAGACAUAGGUGGGCAAAAGGAAGUCUAUCACAACACAGAUCUUUAUGGAGUCCUCCAAGGCAGUGAUUGUUCACACAUAUGAAGCUGGACUGGAGAAUGACAGAAUAUAUGCAAACUAUGAAUAAGGCUUUUGAAGGAUCAUAGCAUGUUAAUUGUAGAUAUAUGUUGUGUGUAUAUAUAAAUAUAUAUAGAUAUAUAUUUAUAUAGUUAUAUUUUAAUAUACGUGUAUCAAAAUACAGCCCUGGGAAAAAAUUAAGAGACCACUGCACUUUUUUCUUUCCUUUCCAAAAAGUUGAAAAGGUAAGUUUUGAGUGAGGAUCAGAAGCGUUCAAUUUGCAGUGGUCUCUUAAUUUAAAACCUUCUGUUCCUCACUCAAAAUCUUCCUUUUUGACUUUUUUGGAAAGGAAAGAAAAAGGUGCAGUGAUCUCUUAAUUGUUUCUGGAGCUGUAUGUUGGAAAAGUAAGCUUUGUGAGUAGUAUUUUAUCAGAUGAAAAACAUAUAUAUACUUCCAGUGAGUUGAUAAGAGUAAAUGUUAUAUUUUAAUGAGAAUAUAAAUAUCAGUGUUUGCUCGUUUUGCCAGGAAACUGAAUUAUUUUCAAGUUUACCUUAAAUGCAGUAUGCAGCAAGUGCAUACAGUACUCUAAUAUGCAACAUUAUUAACUGGAGUUUCAAAAGGGAAGUUGUUUUUAUUUUUUGCUGUGUAAUCCCUUUUCAUUGGCUAUAAUUACUGUUGUCAAAUGAUUCAAAUAAUGAAUCGCAAUUAAUCGCAUAAUCUUCUGUAGUUAAUUGCCUGAAAUACACACUGUUCAAAAACCAGUGCAUUGUGUUAAAGACAUACUGUGUUUAAUUGCAAACUAUGGACAGUGCUUGACUUGGAAUUUAUUAAAUACAAUUUGUCAGAGCCCUUAGUUUAGUUUAAUACAUACAAUGUCAGUCCAACCAUCAAAAUAACUGGCUGCAUCUAAAUGCAGCUCACGUAAAUCUAAAUAAAAGGUUGCUGGUCUAUGAUCCCAUAGUUCUACAAUCAUAUGUUGUUCUCUUGAUUAAAGCCCUAGGAACAAUAACUUUGGGCUACAGUGUAAAACACAUAUCAGACUCUCUUAUCUGGAGAGCUGCAGGGUGUUCAGGCAUUUAAAACACUGGAUCACACUUAAGCUGGUCCAGGUUUUGUCCUUUGAUGUUUAGGCUGAAAUGUAAGAAUUAGGUUCAGGUGGGGGCCUGUAAACAUUAGAUUUCCUGAAAGACGAUUAGCCACAACCAAAUACUUGUGUGUCUAUUCAAUUUUACCAAAUGCAUAAGGUGGGCUACUUUAAUAGGCAAUGGCAUGAGGUAGUCAUGGUGGCUAUAAAUGUUCUCUACAAACAUUAAUCAGGGGACCUGUGUAAAUCAUGCAGAGCACAAAUGUUGUUUGUUAAUUCCACUAUUAAAAUAUGUUUUGGUGGGAAAAUGUAUGCUUAGAUUAGAUUAACAAAACCGUGGAAUAAUGACCAUUUACCAUGCUACAAGCAAAGUAUCAGCAGAUGGAUUCACGCAACACCGCCUCUUGACCAGUUGAAGAGGUAUGCGAUAAACGCAUUCUCGUGUUAUGUUUUUUUUGGAGUGACACUAGUGGGACGCAACGGGAAAAUGUUCCAAUUUCCUCACGUCCAUUUUACUAACGCGUUUUUAGGCAUUAAUAGGCUUUACUAGUGCCGAGUAAACACGAAUUAAAACAUGAAUGCCUACUCUCCAAAGAUGUAUUGGGGGAAAAUGCCUGUGAAGCGCUCAGGUGAAGUCAACCGUCAAUAAAGUUACCGGUAAACAAUAAGUGCGUGCGAUCCUGACAGCUCAAGCCAACCCCAUGGCUCUCAAAAAAAAUGCAAAUUGCGUUAACAGGGACAAACCAUUUACGACAUAGGUAUUUUAAAUUAAUCACACGAGUUAACGCGUUAACUUUGACAGCCCUAGCUAAUACAUUGUGAAUAUGUGUCUAUGUUAUUUAUAUAAAAAAAACUGACGAUCUUCCUCUUAAACAUUUUAGACUAAUUAUCUUAGAAAAUAUUUAAUGUGUAUUUUGUGUAUUGUGUAAAUGUGUAUUUUGAAGAUUCAUAGCAAAGUGUUGUUUGAUUUCAGUAUACAUGAUACAAUGUGUGUGGCUGUUAAUAAAAACCAUGAAAUAAGACACUUAAUUAUUUUACAUUGAUACAUUGCUGUGC
ensembl:lncRNA